rnacentral:lncRNA from 1 species
CCAGGGAUCCACCUCCUUCCCUUUCUUCCCCAAGUUGUUAUUUUCCAGUGUCUGUAUUCCAAAUCCUGGAGAGGAUGAUGUACUGCUGCUUACUGCUCCACCAUCUUCCUGGACAUGCCCAUGGGUACUUUUUUUUUUUUUUAUAAUCAUUAGAUUUUCCCAAAAUGAUGGAGCAGUGAGUGCCAGCAACUCAGCUUCUCCAGGAGAAAGUAUCUAGAGUCUGUAAAACCAUAGAUAGGAGAUUAAUUAAAGUGAUUGGAAGUUUCCUGGGAAUCACAAGGAAACUUACAGAAGAAAAUAUGAUUUUUUUGAUACCGAAGAAAUAGAUCACACCCUGGAGUAGACACCUCACAGCACCACUGACAGUGGUUGGCUACCCACCAGCUGGGAGUGAAAGUGAAACUAACAACUCUUUUUGCUCACAGAGAACUGAAGAACUGCAUCAGGACUUAGAAAAUCAUCUGUAGUCGGAAACAGUGCAGAGAGAAUGGGACACUGCUUCCAGAACAGCCUUCCACAGUCAAUGGUUGUGUGGGACCAGGUAGCAGAAAAGCCAGAAGGCGGAGCAGGGGGUGUUGGUGGGGGGCCUUGCAGGCCCCUGUGCAGCUAAGCAGAGCACCAGUUGAAGGCGGGGCUCCAAGCCGCUCCUGGGACCUCACCGUGUGGGCAGGAAACCGUGCUGUGGGCAGGAACUGGAACACAGCCGAGGAGCUUCCCUCUGCUUGGCUGACCCGUGGAGAGCAGCACAGGAUAAAAACGGGGCUCCAAGCCACUCUGAGACCUCACCUUGCCAUGGGCAGGAACCAGAACACAGCUGAGGAGCUUCACGCUGCUUGGCUGACCCACAGAGAGGAGCACAGGAUGAAGACGGGGCUCCAAGCCACUCCCGGAACCUCAACUUCCCUUGGGCAGGAACUGGAACACAGCGGAGGAGCUUCACACUGCUUGGCUGACCAGCGGAGAGGAGGGUUUUAAUUUUUUGUAUGUGUGUGUUUAAUGGUAAAGUUAUGUUUAAAAAAUCAUACGUGUUCAACCCUUGACUUUAAAAGUGAGAACAGAUGAUCAGAAAGGUUAAACUUGUCCUAGAAAGAGUCAGGACUAGAUCCCAACUGUCUUGAUUCUACUUACUUUGUGUGAAUUAAACACUCAUAAAGUAGUUAGCUUUGUGCAUCCUGUGCAAGAUUGCCCAAGUUCCCAAUGUAGGUACCUUUAAAAAUUGCAAAAUUCUUGCUGAGCAGGAGGUAUUCGCUAUAGGGACUAAUGGACAACAAAUAAUUAAUUACUAAUUAGAAGUGACCUAGUCCCUGAGUGAAUCAAGUAAAUGCUGGGAUAUCUUUGGGUACAACUGAACAUUUAUUGCUACAUCAGUGGAAACGUGAUCCUCUUAUUUUAGGAAAAUGAACAGUAGGAUCUUGCUUUUAACCAUAAGCUUUGCUUUCUGGGGCAUGUUUAGUACUGAUUUUGUUUCAUAACUCAUGUUAUGCACAGGUUCAGGGGCUCCGUAAAAAAUAAAUUUCAUGUCUGCUCAUUUUUGUUCAAACAAUCUUUCAUGGCUCAAUCAUUUUGAAACUAUAUCGUGUG